rnacentral:tRNA from 1 species
GGAGGAGUACCCAAGUGGCCAAAGGGGGCAGACUGUAAAUCUGCUGGCUCAGCCUUCAGUGGUUCAAAUCCGCUCUCCUCCACCA